UACGGGGGGGGGCUAGCGUUGUUCGGAAUUACUGGGCGUAAAGGGCGCGUAGGCGGUCUGCUAAGUUGGAUGUGAAAACUCUGGGCUUAACCCAGAGCCUGCAUUCAAAACUGACAGGCUAGAGUUCUGGAGGGGAUAGCGGAAUUCCUGGUGUAGCGGUGAAAUGCGUAGAUAUCAGGAGGAACACCGGUGGCGAAGGCGGCUAUCUGGACAGAAACUGACGCUGAGGCGCGAAAGCUAGGGGAGCAAACAGG
rnacentral:rRNA from 1 species